rnacentral:rRNA from 1 species
CAGCCGCCGCGGUAAUACGUAGGUGGCAAGCGUUGUCCGGAAUUAUUGGGCGUAAAGGGCUCGCAGGCGGUUUCUUAAGUCUGAUGUGAAAGCCCCCGGCUCAACCGGGGAGGGUCAUUGGAAACUGGGAAACUUGAGUGCAGAAGAGGAGAGUGGAAUUCCACGUGUAGCGGUGAAAUGCGUAGAGAUGUGGAGGAGCACCAGUGGCGAAGGCGACUCUCUGGUCUGUAACUGACGCUGAGGAGCGAAAGCGUGGGGAGCGAACAGGAUUAGAUACCCCGGUAGUCCCUGUCUCUUAUAC